GCCGGGCAUGGUGAUGCAUACCUGUAAUCCUAGCUACUCGGGAGGCUGAGGCAGGAGAAUCACUUGAACCCGGGAGGCAGAGGUUGCAGUGAGCAGAGAUCGUGCCACUACACGCCAGCCUGGGUGACAAAGUGAGACUCUGUCUCAA
rnacentral:SRP_RNA from 2 species